AUUGAACGCUGGCGGCAGGCCUAACACAUGCAAGUCGAGCGCGCGGCGGACGGGUGAGUAAUGUCUGUGAGACUGCCUGCUGGAGGGGGAUAACUACUGGAAACGGUAGCUAAUACCGCAUACCAUCAGAUGUGCCCAGAUGGGAUGAGCUAGUAGGUGGGGUAACGGCUCACCUAGGCGACGAUCCCUCGCUGGUCUGAGAGGAUGACCAGCCACACUGGAACUGAGACACGGUCCAGACUCCUACGGGAGGCAGCAGUGGGGAAUAUUGCACAAUGGGCGCAAGCCUGAUGCAGCCAUGCCGCGUGUAUGAAGAAGGCCUUCGGGUUGUAAAGUACUUGCAGCGGGGAGGCGUUACCCGCAGAAGAAGCACCGGCUAACUCCGUGCCAGCAGCCGCGGUAAUAC
rnacentral:rRNA from 1 species